rnacentral:rRNA from 1 species
UACAGAGGGUGCAAGCGUUAAUCGGAAUUACUGGGCGUAAAGCGAGCGUAGUCGGUUAUUUAAGUCGGGUGUGAAAGCCCCGGGCUCAACCUGGGAAUUGCAUUCGAUACUGGAUAGCUAGAGUUCGGCAGAGGGAAGCGGAAUUUCCGGUGUAGCGGUGAAAUGCGUAGAUAUUGGGAAGAACAUCCGUGGCGAAAGCGCUCUGCUGGACUGCAACUGACAGUGAGGGACGAAAGCUAGGGGAGCGAAUGGG